rnacentral:rRNA from 1 species
AUUGAACGCUGGCGGCAUGCUUUACACAUGCAAGUCGAACGGUAACAGGUUAAGCUGACGAGUGGCGAACGGGUGAGUAAUGCAUCGGAACGUGCCCGGUCGUGGGGGAUAACGCAGCGAAAGCUACGCUAAUACCGCAUACGAUCUGAGGAUGAAAGCGGGGGACCGUAAGGCCUCGCGCGAUCGGAGCGGCCGAUGUCAGAUUAGGUAGUUGGUGGGGUAAAGGCUCACCAAGCCAACGAUCUGUAGCUGGUCUGAGAGGACGACCAGCCACACUGGGACUGGGAGACGGCCCAGACUCCUACGGGAGGCAGCAGUGGGGAAUUUUGGACAAUGGGCGAAAGCCUGAUCCAGCAAUGCCGCGUGCAGGAAGAAGGCCUUCGGGUUGUAAACUGCUUUUGUACGGAGCGAAAAGGUCUCCUCUAAUACAGGGGGCUCAUGACGGUACCGUAAGAAUAAGCACCGGCUAACUACGUGCCAGCCGCCGCAGUAA